rfam:Equus caballus chromosome 3, whole genome shotgun sequence.
UUUUUAGUAUAAGUAUGUCUCAUGUACUCUUUGGGAUAUACUUAUACUAAAA